AUUGAACGCUGGCGGCAGGCCUAACACAUGCAAGUCGAACGAGUGGCGGACGGGUGAGUAAUGUCUGGGAAACUGCCCGAUGGAGGGGGAUAACUACUGGAAACGGUAGCUAAUACCGCAUACCAUCGGAUGUGCCCAGAUGGGAUUAGCUAGUAGGUGGGGUAACGGCUCACCUAGGCGACGAUCCCUAGCUGGUCUGAGAGGAUGACCAGCCACACUGGAAUGGAGACACGGCCCAGACCCCUACGGGAGGCAGAAGUGGGGAAUAUGGCAAAAUGGGCGCAAGCCUGAUGCUGCCAUGCCGCGUGUUGGAAGAGGGCCUUGGGGUUGUAAAUUACUUUCAGCGAGGAGGCGUUACUCGCAGAAGAAGCACCGGCUAACUCCGGGCCAGCAGCCGCGGUAAUUC
rnacentral:rRNA from 1 species